UGGGCAAUAGGAUGGCAGUUCGAACGACUUAACCAUUUGUUUACAUUUGGGGCGGUUAGUGGCGGACUGGUGAGUAACGCGUGAGCAACCUGGCUAUUAGAGGGGAAUAACAGUGAGAAAUCAUUGCUAAUACCGCAUAUGCUCACAGUACCACAUGGUACAGUGAGGAAAGGAGCAAUCCGCUAAUAGAUGGGCUCGCGUCUGAUUAGCUAGUUGGUGGGGUAAAGGCCUACCAAGGCGACGAUCAGUAGCCGGACUGAGAGGUUGAACGGCCACAUUGGGACUGAGAUACGGCCCAGACUCCUACGGGAGGCAGCAGUCGGGAAUAUUGCGCAAUGGAGGAAACUCUGACGCAGUGACGCCGCGUAUGGGAAGAAGGUUUUCGGAUUGUAAACCAUUGUCGUUAGGGAAGAAGAAGUGACAGUACCUAAGGAGGAAGCUCCGGCUAACUAUGUGCCAGCAGCCGCGGUAAUACAUAGGGAGCGAGCGUUAUCCGGAUUUAUUGGGUGUAAAGGGUGCGUAGACGGGAAUACAAGUUGGUUGUGAAAGCCCUCGGCUUAACUGAGGAACUGCAACCAAAACUAUAUUUCUUGAGUAUCGGAGAGGAAAGUGGAAUUCCUAGUGUAGCGGUGAAAUGCGUAGAUAUUAGGAGGAACACCAGUGGCGAAGGCGACUUUCUGGACGAAAACUGACGUUGAGGCACGAAAGUGUGGGGAGCAAACAGGAUUAGAUACCCUGGUAGUCCACACUGUAAACGAUGGAUACUAGGUGUAGGGUUUAAUAAAGACUCUGUGCCGUCGCANACGCAAUAAGUAUCCCACCUGGGGAGUACGACCGCAAGGUUGAAACUCAAAGGAACUGACGGGGGCCCGCACAAACGGUGGAGUAUGUGGUUUAAAU
rnacentral:rRNA from 1 species